UGCAAGUCGAACGCUUUGUGGUUCAACUGAUUUGAAGAGCUUGCUCAGAUAUGACGAUGGACAUUGCAAAGAGUGGCGAACGGGUGAGUAACACGUGGGAAACCUACCUCUUAGCAGGGGAUAACAUUUGGAAACAGAUGCUAAUACCGUAUAACAAUGACAACCGCAUGGUUGUUAUUUAAAAGAUGGUUCUGCUAUCACUAAGAGAUGGUCCCGCGGUGCAUUAGCUAGUUGGUAAGGUAAUGGCUUACCAAGGCGAUGAUGCAUAGCCGAGUUGAGAGACUGAUCGGCCACAAUGGGACUGAGACACGGCCCAUACUCCUACGGGAGGCAGCAGUAGGGAAUCUUCCACAAUGGGCGAAAGCCUGAUGGAGCAACGCCGCGUGUGUGAUGAAGGGUUUCGGCUCGUAAAACACUGUUGUAAGAGAAGAAUGACAUUGAGAGUAACUGUUCAAUGUGUGACGGUAUCUUACCAGAAAGGAACGGCUAAAUACGUGCCAGCAGCCGCGGUAAUACGUAUGUUCCAAGCGUUAUCCGGAUUUAUUGGGCGUAAAGCGAGCGCAGACGGUUAUUUAAGUCUGAAGUGAAAGCCCUCAGCUCAACUGAGGAAUUGCUUUGGAAACUGGAUGACUUGAGUGCAGUAGAGGAAAGUGGAACUCCAUGUGUAGCGGUGAAAUGCGUAGAUAUAUGGAAGAACACCAGUGGCGAAGGCGGCUUUCUGGACUGUAACUGACGUUGAGGCUCGAAAGUGUGGGUAGCAAACAGGAUUAGAUACCCUGGUAGUCCACACCGUAAACGAUGAGUGCUAGGUGUUUGAGGGUUUCCGCCCUUAAGUGCCGCAGCUAACGCAUUAAGCACUCCGCCUGGGGAGUACGACCGCAAGGUUGAAACUCAAAGGAAUUGACGGGGACCCGCACAAGCGGUGGAGCAUGUGGUUUAAUUCGAAGCAACGCGAAGAACCUUACCAGGUCUUGACAUCCCUUGACAACUCCAGAGAUGGAGCGUUCCCUUCGGGGACAAGGUGACAGGUGGUGCAUGGUUGUCGUCAGCUCGUGUCGUGAGAUGUUGGGUUAAGUCCCGCAACGAGCGCAACCCUUAUUACUAGUUGCCAGCAUUCAGUUGGGCACUCUAGUGAGACUGCCGGUGACAAACCGGAGGAAGGUGGGGAUGACGUCAAAUCAUCAUGCCCCUUAUGACCUGGGCUACACACGUGCUACAAUGGCGUAUACAACGAGUUGCCAACCCGCGAGGGUGAGCUAAUCUCUUAAAGUACGUCUCAGUUCGGAUUGUAGGCUGCAACUCGCCUACAUGAAGUCGGAAUCGCUAGUAAUCGCGGAUCAGCACGCCGCGGUGAAUACGUUCCCGGGUCUUGUACACACCGCCCGUCACACCAUGAGAGUUUGUAACACCCAAAGCCGGUGGGGUAACCUUCGGGAGCCAGCCGUCUAAGG
rnacentral:rRNA from 1 species